rnacentral:lncRNA from 10 species
CAUCCAGUGUAUUACAAUAUAUUUCAGUUUAUGUGCUACAGAGUAUCAUCAAUAUUAUAAAAAUAAGAUCUUUCAGCAGGGCACAGUGGCUCACACCUAUAAUCCCAGCACUUUGGGAUUACAGGCAUGAGCUGCUGCACCCAGCCAUUUUUUAAAUGAGUGAGAAAUUAACUACUUUUGGUAUGAAACAUGCUUUGGCUAGAAAAGAGUCAUAUUAAAAUGUAUUAUUAAUACUUGAUUUUAUUACUGAAAAUUACAUGCAUCAAUCAUUAAUAAAAACUUUUAUAGUGACUGCAUAUGAGCAUGAGGAAUUUCUCUCGGGCGUUGAAAAUUUUCUAAAAUUGGACUGUGGUGAUGGCCACACAACUGUGAAUUUACAAAAAUCUUGAGUUGUAAACCCAAAGCAGGUAAACUGUAUGGUUGUAAAUUACAUCUGAAAAAAUUCCAUUAAAAAAAACCUAUCAGCCUGGUGUUGUGGCUUGCACUUAUAAUCCCAGCUACUUGGAAGGCUGAGGGAGGACGACUGCUUGAGCCCAAGAGUUUGAGACUACAGUGAGCUAUGAUCACACCACUGCACUCCAGCCUGGGAAACAGUGAGAC